AUCAACGCUGGCGGCGUGCCUAACACAUGCAAGUCGAACGGAAGAAGCGGGGGCAACUCCGCGAGUAUAGUGGCGUACGGGUGAGUAACACGUGACUAACCUGCCCUUGAGUGGGGGAUAACCUCGGGAAACCGGGGCUAACACCGCAUAACAUCCUUGGUAUGAGAAACCGGGGAUCAAAAGAGCCAUCUGCUUAAGGAGGGGGUUCGCGGCUGAUAGCUAGUUGGUGAGGUGGUAACGGCUCACCACAGGCGAUGAUCGGUAGCCGGCCUGAGAGGGCGCACGGCCACACUGGAACUGAAAACACGGUCCAGACUCCUACCGGGAGGCAGCAGUGGGGAAUUUUGCCGCAAUGGGGGAAACCCUGACGCAGCAACGCCGCGUGAGGGAUGAAGUCCCUUGGGACGUAAAACUCCUUUCGACCGGGACGAUUAUGACGGUACCGGUGGAAGAAGCACCGGCUAACUCUGUGCCAGCAGCCGCGGUAAUACAGAGGGUGCAAGCGUUGUUCGGAAUUAUUGGGCGUUUAAAGGGCGCGGUAGGCGGUGGCGGUAAGUCACCUGUGAAAUCUCCGGGCUUAACUCGGAGCCUGCAGGCGAACUACCGUGCUGGAGUGUGGGAGAGGUGCGUGGAAUUCCCGGUGUAGCGGUGAAAUGCGUAGAUAUCGGGGAGGAACACCUGUGGCGAAACGCGGCGCACUGGACCACAACUGACGCUGAGGCGCGAAAGCUAGGGGAGCAAACAGGAUAGAUACCCUGGUAGUCCUAGCCUAAACUAUGGAUGCUUGGUUGUAGUGGGUACCCAAUCCCACUGUGCCGCAUAGCUAACGCGUUAAGCAUCCCGCCUGGGGAGUACGGUCGCCAAGGCUGAAACUCAAAGGAAUUGACGGGGGCCCGCACAAGCGGUGGAGCAUGUGGUUCAUUCGACGCAACGCGAAGAACCUUACCUGGGCUCGAAGCGCAGGGACCGGGGUGGAAACAUCCCUUUCCGCAAGGACUGCUGCGGAGGUGCUGCAUGGCUGUCGUCAGCUCGUGUCGUGAGAUGUUGGGUUAAGUCCCGCCAACGAGCGCAACCCUUAUCGUUAGUUACCAUCAGGUCAAGCUGGGCACUCUAGCGAAACCGCCUCGGAUAACGGGGAGGAAGGUGGGGAUGACGUCAAGUCCUCAUGGCCUUUAUGUCCAGGGCUACACACGUGCUACAAUGGUCGGUACAAACCGUCGCAAACCCGUGAGGUGGAGCUAAUCGGAAAAAGCCGGCCUCAGUUCGGAUUGGAGUCUGCAACCCGACUCCAUGAAGCUGGAAUCGCUAGUAAUCGCAGAUCAGAACGCUGCGGUGAAUACGUUCCCGGGCCUUGUACACACCGCCCGUCACAUCACGAAAGUGGGUGAUACUAGAAGUCGUCGUGCCAACCCGCAAGGGAGGUAGACGCCAAGGUAUGACUCAUGAUUGGGGUG
rnacentral:rRNA from 1 species